GAUUUGUUUAAGGACUUAUUCCUGUUCUUGUAUACUGAAGUAGAUUUGUUUAAGGACUUAUUCCUGUUCUUGUAUUCUGAAGUAGAUUUGUUUAAGGACUUAUUCCUGUUCUUGUAUACUGAAGUAGAUUUGUUUAAGGACUUAUUCCUGUUCUUGUAUACUGAAGUAGAUUUAUUUAAGGACUUAUUCCUGUUCUUGUAUACUGAAGUAGAUUUGUUUAAGGACUUAUUCCUGUUCUUGUAUACUGAAGUAGAUUUGUUUAAGGACUUAUUCCUGUUCUUGUAUACUGAAGUAGAUUUAUUUAAGGACUUAUUCCUGUUCUUGUAUACUGAAGUAGAUUUGUUUAAGGACUUAUUCCUGUUCUUGUAUACUGAAGUAGAUUUGUUUAAGGACUUAUUCCUGUUCUUGUAUACUGAAGUAGAUUUGUUUAAGGACUUAUUCCUGUUCUUGUAUACAUGCU